rnacentral:misc_RNA from 1 species
GAAAUGGGAUACGUAGUGUGAAUUGCAGAAUUCAGUGAAUCAUCGAAUCUUUGAACGCACAUUGUGCCCUUUGGUAUUCCAAAGGGCAUGCCUGUUCGAGCGUCAUUUGUACCCUCAAGCUUUGCUUGGUGUUGGGCGUUUUUUGUCUUUGGCUCGCCCAAAGACUCGCCUUAAAACGAUUGGCAGCCGGCCUACUGGUUUCGCAGCGCAGCACAUUUUUGCGCUUGCAAUCAGCAAAAGAGGACGGCAACCCAUCAAGACUCCUUCUCACGUUUGACCUCGGAUCAGGUAGGGAUACCCGCUGAACUUAAGC